CCUUUGGCCGAGUGGUGAGAGCUGCUGCUCUCCAACUUGGAGAGCAGCAGUUCGAACCCCCACAAUGCAUGUGAGGGUGUUUCCUUCCUCAAAUAAAAUUGAGUGAAGGCAAUCUGCUACCUUGCCCCAGUGUGAGGAGUAGACAUCCCUCGAAUAUUUGAGAGGGUUAAAAUCUGGGCAGCGCUCCAUUAGCUUUGAUGUAUGUUGGUUCCAGUUAUAAUCUGAUUUGUACAUAUCAGUUAUAUUCUCAUGUAAUAUGAGUUGUAAUCGGAGCAAUAGUCUUAUGUAAUCAAAAAAAAAAAAAUUGUGAAACAAGUUUUUAAAUAGUUAUAAGGGUUAUUCCCACCCAACCCC
rnacentral:lncRNA from 1 species